rnacentral:rRNA from 1 species
GAUGAACGCUGGCGGCGUGCCUAAUACAUGCAAGUCGAGCGAACAGACGAGGAGCUUGCUCCUCUGACGUUAGCGGCGGACGGGUGAGUAACACGUGGAUAACCUACCUAUAAGACUGGGAUAACUUCGGGAAACCGGAGCUAAUACCGGAUAAUAUAUUGAACCGCAUGGUUCAAUAGUGAAAGACGGUUUUGCUGUCACUUAUAGAUGGAUCCGCGCCGCAUUAGCUAGUUGGUAAGGUAACGGCUUACCAAGGCAACGAUGCGUAGCCGACCUGAGAGGGUCAUCGUCCACACUGGAACUGAGACACGGUCCAGACUCCUACGGGAGGCAGCAGUAGGGAAUCUUCCGCAAUUGGCGAAAGCCUGACGGAGCAACGCCGCGUGAUUGAUGAAGGCCUUCGGAUCGUAAAACUCUGUUAUUAGGGAAGAACAAAUGUGUAAGUAACUAUGCACGUCUUGACGGUACCUUAUCAGAAAGCCACGGCUAACUACGUG